GACGAACGCUGGCGGCGUGCUUAACACAUGCAAGUCGAACGGUGAAGGGACCAGCUUGCUGGUUCUGGAUGAGUGGCGAACGGGUGAGUAACACGUGAGUAACCUGCCCCCUUCUUCUGGAUAACCGCAUGAAAGUGUGGCUAAUACGGGAUAUUCUGGGUCUGUCGCAUGGCGGGCCCGGGAAAGAUAUUGCUUCGGUGGGGGAUGGGCUCGCGGCCUAUCAGCUUGUUGGUGGGGUGAUGGCCUACCAAGGCGGUGACGGGUAGCCGGCCUGAGAGGGUGGACGGUCACACUGGGACUGAGACACGGCCCAGACUCCUACGGGAGGCAGCAGUGGGGAAUAGUGCACAAUGGGCGCAAGCCUGAUGCAGCGACGCCGCGUGAGGGAGGGAGGCCUUCGGGUUGUAAACCUCUUUCGCCAGUGAAGCAGGCCUGCUCCUUGUGGGUGGGUUGACGGUAGCUGGAUAAGAAGCGCCGGCUAACUACGUG
rnacentral:rRNA from 1 species